rnacentral:rRNA from 1 species
UACGUAUGGAGCAAGCGUUAUCCGGAUUUACUGGGUGUAAAGGGAGCGUAGACGGUUUGCCAAGUCUGAUGUGGAAGGUGUGGGCUCAACCCCCAAACUGCAUUGGAAACUGGUAGACUAGAGUGUCGGAGAGGUAAGUGGAAUUCCUAGUGUAGCGGUGAAAUGCGUAUAUAUUAGGAGGAACACCAGCGGCGAAGGUGGCUUACUGGACGAUAACUGACGUUGAGGCUCGAAAGCGUGGGGAGCAAAC